AACUGCAAAAAAAAAAAAAAAAAAAAAGCAAAUAUCAGAACAAACUUAGCCAACCAUGUCCAGUUCGUUCAGACUUGAGGGAGGGGGAAAUACCUAAGUUGCUCGGACUCGGGUGCGGGUAUCCGAUACGGGGACGGUUCCGAGUAUCGGAUUCGGCAAAAUCUAAAUUUUAAGAUUCGGGGGCGCGAAUCCGUAUAUGGAUACGGUGCAGGAUACGGCUAAGAAAAUUCAAAAUAAUAAAAAAUAGAGCUAUAGAUUUGUACAACUAGUAAAAUCUUAUAAAUAUAACUUUUUCUUCUUUAUUCUUUUUUGUUUUGCGCAAAUCAAAAAAUUGAAGCUCAAAGCACACUUAUAUUAAUAUUUGCUACAUAACGUGGUUAUAGAGGAGAAAAUGGUCAAAAAGUAUAUAAAUAUGGUCAAAAAGCUCACUUUUUUAAAAGUGUUACAGUACUUCUUUUUGUAAUUUGAUGGGAGACAGCUAAAGGCCUGAAACACUCCAUUAUGUAACCCCAUUAUCUCAUAAACAAUUGGAAAAAUAUGUGCUGUCAAUUAAAAAGUAUUCACUUCCUAAUUUGUCCCUUUCUUCUUCAUCCAUUCUCUGUUGCCUCUUCUCUUUCCAUCUCUGAGACAUUUCCCCAGCAAAACAUUUUCCAUGUCUUGUCUUUUUUUCCAGUACAAAACUCAAAACUCAUUCGAGCCCUUCCCACGAGCUCUUGAUUUUAGAAACAUACAACAAGAACAAGAAGAUUGACCAAGACAAAAAGCUUCAAAGAAGAUAAAAGGACUAGUAUAAAUUACUACAUAGCAGUGAAAUUGAAGUGUCCGAAGUUGGUUGACCGUAUCCAAGACAUUUCCCGCUCCAGCACCCGUCCAAGUCUCGUAUCGGGACGGGGACGGCACCAACAUUGAAGAGUCCGUGCAACUUAGGGAAAUACAAAGAAGCACCAGGACUAACAGGCACCAGAACAAGGAGGAUAAGGGUAGCAAAAAUUAGAGUGAGUUCAUCAUGCAUGAAUGAAUUCUCCCAGGUUCUUGUUUUUUUACAUCAACUGCUAUGAUAGGAUGGAAAAGGAGAGGUAGUGAUGUGUUGCAAAUCAGAACUCAUCUAGUUUGUGUUAUACAUAAUGUGUAAUGCCUAAAGGGAAUCCUUACUCCACCACUUGAGUGCAUAAACACUUCAAUCUGAUAUUUCAAGAUACUAUGGCUAUAUUGCACCAGGCAUGAAGUGAAAACAGAGUAUCAACUUAUUAAAAUAUUUUUUA